rnacentral:rRNA from 1 species
AUGCAAGUCGAACGAACUUCCGUUAAUUGAUUAUGACGUGCUUGCACUGAAUGAGAUUUUAACACGAAGUGAGUGGCGGACGGGUGAGUAACACGUGGGCAACCUGCCCAGAAGCAGGGGAUAACACCUGGAAACAGAUGCUAAUACCGUAUAACAGAGAAAACCGCCUGGUUUUCUUUUAAAAGAUGGCUCUGCUAUCACUUCUGGAUGGACCCGCGGCGCAUUAGCUAGUUGGUGAGGUAACGGCUCACCAAGGCGAUGAUGCGUAGCCGACCUGAGAGGGUAAUCGGCCACAUUGGGACUGAGACACGGCCCAGACUCCUACGGGAGGCAGCAGUAGGGAAUCUUCCACAAUGGACGCAAGUCUGAUGGAGCAACGCCGCGUGAGUGAAGAAGGGUUUCGGCUCGUAAAGCUCUGUUGUUAAAGAAGAACGUGGGUGAGAGUAACUGUUCACCCAGUGACGGUAUUUAACCAGAAAGCCACGGCUAACUACGUGCCAGCAGCCGGGGUAAUAC